CCUACGGGUGGCAGCAGUCGAGAAUCAUUCACAAUGGGGGAAACCCUGAUGGUGCGACGCCGCGUGGGGGAAUGAAGGUCUUCGGAUUGUAAACCCCUGUCAUGUGGGAGCAAAUUAAAAAGAUAGUACCACAAGAGGAAGAGACGGCUAACUCUGUGCCAGCAGCCGCGGUAAUACAGAGGUCUCAAGCGUGGUUCGGAAUCACUGGGCGUAAAGCGUGCGUAGGCUGUUUCGUAAGUCGUGUGUGAAUGGGGCGGGCUCAACCCGCGGACGGCACAUGAUACUGCGAGACUAGAGUAAUGGAGGGGGAACCGGAAUUCUCGGUGUAGCAGUGAAAUGCGUAGAGAUCGAGAGGAACACUCGUGGCGAAGGCGGGUUCCUGGACAUUAACUGACGCUGAGGCACGAAGGCCAGGGGAGCGAAAGGGAUUAGAUACCCGUGUAGUC
rnacentral:rRNA from 1 species